GACGUAGGAUGCAAGCGUUUGUCCGGAUUUAUUGGGCGUAAAGAGUUCGUAGGCGGUUUGUUAAGUCUGGAUGUUAAAGACUGGGGCUCAACCCUGGGAGUGCAUUGGAUACUGGCAGACUCGAGUGCAGUAGAGGCAAGCGGAAUUCCAGGUGUAGCGGUGAAAUGCGUAGAUAUCUGGAAGAACACCGGUGGCGCAAGCGGCUUGCUGGACCGACACUGACGCUGAGGCGCGAAAGCUAGGGGAGCAAACGGG
rnacentral:rRNA from 1 species